UACGUAGGGGGCAAGCGUUGUCCGGAUUUAUUGGGCGUAAAGAGCGUGUAGGCGGCCAUGCAGGUCAGCUGUGAAAACUCGAGGCUCAACCUCGAGACGUCGGUUGAAACCGCAUGGCUAGAGUCCGGAAGAGGAGUGUGGAAUUCCCGGUGUAGCGGUGGAAUGCGCAGAUAUCGGGAGGAACACCCGUGGCGAAGGCGGCACUCUGGGACGGUACUGACGCUGAGACGCGAAAGCGUGGGGAGCAAACAGG
rnacentral:rRNA from 1 species